UACGUAGGAGGCGAGCGUUGUCCGGAUUUAUUGGGCGUAAAGAGCGUGUAGGCGGCCAUGCAGGUCAGCUGUGAAAACUCGAGGCUCAACCUCGAGACGUCGGUUGAAACCGCAUGGCUAGAGUCCGGAAGAGGAGAGUGGAAUUCCUAGUGUAGCAGUGAAAUGCGUAGAUAUUAGGAGGAACAUCAGUGGCGAAGGCGGCUCACUGGCUGAAUACUGACGCUAAGGCGCGAAAGCGUGGGGAGCAAACAGG
rnacentral:rRNA from 1 species